CAGUCGCCACGGGAAUACGUAGGGUGCAAGCGUUAAUCGGAAUUACUGGGCGUAAAGCGUGCGCAGGCGGUGUUGUAAGACUGAUGUGAAAUCCCCGAGCUCAACCUGGGAACUGCAUUUGUGACUGUAUAGCUAGAGUACGGCAGAGGGGGAUGGAAUUCCGCGUGUAGCAGUGAAAUGCGUAGAUAUGCGGAGGAACACCGAUGGCGAAGGCAAUCCCCUGGGCCUGUACUGACGCUCAUGCACGAAAGCGUGGGGAGCAAACAGGAUUAGAUACCCCAGUAGUCCCUGUCUCUUAUAC
rnacentral:rRNA from 1 species